CAGUCGCCGCGGUAAUACAGAGGGUGCGAGCGUUAAUCGGAUUUACUGGGCGUAAAGCGUGCGUAGGCGGCUUCUUAAGUCGGAUGUGAAAUCCCUGAGCUUAACUUAGGAAUUGCAUUCGAUACUGGGAAGCUAGAGUAUGGGAGAGGAUGGUAGAAUUCCAGGUGUAGCGGUGAAAUGCGUAGAGAUCUGGAGGAAUACCGAUGGCGAAGGUAGCCAUCUGGCCUAAUACUGACGCUGAGGUACGAAAGCAUGGGGAGCAAACAGGAUUAGAGACCCCCGUAGUCCCUGUCUCUUAUAC
rnacentral:rRNA from 1 species